UGUAGAUCACUUCGUGUUGAAGAUCCUUUCGCUGAAAUCUGCAGAAAAAUGGCGUUGAUGAAAGGAGAGCCGCUGGUGAGGAAGCUCGCCGUGUUCGCCAAGUAUGUUGUUCUUCCGGGAGCCAUGGCCGCAGCUCUCGUUUACUCUCCUCCAGAUUAUGCUUACUUCAAGAAUGACGAUAAGUCUUCCAAAUAGGAUUCUUUCCCAUUCUUCCACCUAUCGGACCGUCUGAUCAUGUAGGCUUGCAUUGGCAGAUUUGUGUUCCUCUUUUGUUGAUAAUGGUGUGUAAUGGACUUACUGUCAUUAUGUCUCAAUAAUUAGUCAUUUGUUUCACUUUUGGGGCUUGGUCUUCGGAGAAAGAACAAUGAAUUGUUUCCUUGAGGAAUACUCAAAAUGGGAAGUAUAUGUUUCCUUUGCUUA